CAAGUAGAAUAAAUGAUCGCGGCUGUACAGACGCAAGGGUACAGGUGAGGAAAGUCCGGGCUUCACAGGGCAGGAUGCCGGAUAACGUCCGGUGGAGGUGACUCCAAGGCUAGUGCAACAGAAAACAAACAGCUAUGCGGUACCUAAUGGGUACGUUUGGAAGCCGCUUGCGGCUUCCGUAGUUUUGCGAAACAAUGUGAAAGCAUUGUGACGCAAUACUACAUUGCAUAGUGAUGGUGGAAUGGCAGUGUAAGAGACUACCGCUGCAACGGUAACGGUGCAGGCUGUGUAAACCCCAUCCGAAGCAAGACCGAAACGAAAGCGACAGAUUGGCCCGAUCUGCUUUCAGGUGGGUCGCUCGAGAUAUCCGGUAACGGAUAUCCUAGAUAGAUGAUCAUUCACGACAUAACCCGGCUUAUCGCUCUGCUUGGUUU
rnacentral:RNase_P_RNA from 1 species